CCUACGGGAGGCAGCAGUGGGGAAUAUUGGGCAAUGGGCGCAAGCCUGACCCAGCAACGCCGCGUGAAGGAAGAAGGCUUUCGGGUUGUAAACUUCUUUUGUCAGGGAAGAGUAGAAGACGGUACCUGACGAAUAAGCCACGGCUAACUACGUGCCAGCAGCCGCGGUAAUACGUAGGUGGCAAGCGUUGUCCGGAUUUACUGGGUGUAAAGGGCGGGUAGCCGUGUUGACAAGUCAGAUGUGAAAUCCUGCGGCUUAACCGCAGAACUGCAUUUGAAACUGUUGAUCUUGAGUACUGGAGAGGCAGACGGAAUUCCUAGUGUAGCGGUGAAAUGCGUAGAUAUUAGGAGGCACAACAGUGGCGAAGGCGGUCUGCUGGACAGCAACUGACGGUGAGGCGCGAAAGCGUGGGGAGCAAACAGGAUUAGAUACCCCUGUAGUC
rnacentral:rRNA from 1 species